rnacentral:lncRNA from 1 species
AAAAUCUUAAAUCUUUAUCAAUUUCUUUAUCACUCGAUGAAGCUUUUCAAAAAUAUUUCUCAAAAGAAUUUUUCAAAAACAACGCUAAACUAUCUCGAAAUCCAAUUCCAAGCUCCUCAGUGCUAGUGUUGAGCUUCUGGUCUCAUUUCCUGCAAGGUAAACCCUCUUGUUUUUUUUUUUUUUUCAUUUUUAUAAAAUCUAAACACCCCUCUUUUUCUUUAUAUAUAUAUAUAUAUAUAUAUAUAUAUUUGUGAUUCUUGUUUACAAUAACUUCAGUGGGCACUUUGGAAUGCUAUGUUCUCCUGUUUCUUAGUUCACUAAUGAUUUUUGUUAUAGAUGAAUAAGGCUUGGAUGAGUUUAGAAAAGGUGCCUGAGGGCAGUGAUUUGGAACAAAUAUGUUGUUGGAGGGAAAUGAUUCAAUCUUUUAAAAUUUCUGUUAUUGUUAUCGUAAUGUUGGCUGUGUUUUUUUUUUUUUAGUUGCCAAAACUGUGCGCAGAGAGAAGUCUUAAACGCACCGUUUUGGCCCAAGUCUUCUAUUUGAAAUGAUGCGUAUUGAUGGAGGCAGUUUGGCAGCUACCAAUAUGUUAUUUGGUCGGUCAUCUUCCCUAUUUUAGCACCAAUCAGGCAAAGGAGGAACGACUAUGCAAAUACAGUCCCAAUUUUUCUCAUUUUCUUCAUCUCCUUCUCGAUGUGAAAUUUUCUCUAGAUCUUCAUUCUUUAACAAAGGUGUCAGAGCUUCGUGAUCUUCAUGGCCAACAACGAUGUGACCACACGCUUACAAAACAACAUUAGCCAACUGCAAUAGGAGUUUUCUCAGCUGGAUAACAAACUUGCAUGCUCGAUUUAAGAAGAUGCAGACAUUGGCGGAGUUAAAAAAAAAAUUUUGGGGUCGAAAUUAAAUUGUACACUUUUGCGACAGUAAAAAUUAAAUUUCAUCAUUUUAAUAACAUAUAUCCUUAUAAUUUUUAAAGGGUCAAAUCAAAUUUUUAUCAUUUUAGGUGACCAAAAUAUUAUUUUAUCAUUAUUAAUUUAAAAUUUUAUAAAUUAUAAAGGGUCUAAAUUAAAAAGUUAUCAUUUUAGGGGGGGCCACGGCGACCACGGAUAGGAAGUAGUGAUUAUAAGUAUAUUUUAUAAUGAAGACAAAGAGAUCAUCCCCAGGCAAAUAUCAAUGAGCAAAUCUUUAUCAUUUCGACAAUUUAAAUUUUAUUAUUUUUAAAAUUUUAUGGAGAAAAUAUAUUAUCAUAUAAGUAAUUUCAUGUUAGUUUAUUAUUUUUACAUGAUACUUAAAAAAAUAUUAUUUUAAUAAAUAAAAUUUACAAUUAUUGCAUUAAUUAAAAUUAAAAAAUUAUAAGUGCUAAAAAUGAUAUCAUUACUAUGGCCCAUCAGUUGCUGUAGGACUAGACGGAAGCUCACUAACCUAGUUCAUGUGCACCUAGACUGAAGUAGUCUAAGGGUCCAUUUGGAUGGGCAUUUACCUCUAAUAUGGUGCGUUUGACUUUCUUUUUAUCUUCCGCUACAGUAUCUAAUCUCAUCGCCACUGCUGUUUUUACGCUAACGGCAAGUAAACGCGCACCACCUAUCCAAAAAGGCCCUAAGUUGUGUUGCCCAUGCUUUCUUCAUUUCUUUUGAAAUACCUUAUAUUGCAUGCUCCCAAUGAAUGACUUAGUGCUAAAAGUCAAUUUCAUUUUUAAUUUUUGCCACGUGUUAAAAUGUGUCAUUAUGCUAUUGGUUGUCAACAUCACGUUAGUGUAUUUUAAUGGUGUUAAUUUGGUACCUAAAAAGAGUACCAAGUUGGCUUAUAGUUUUCAAAUUCAAGUACUAGUUAAGUCCAAAAAAUUUAGGAACCAUAUAAAUAUAAGUUACCAAAUCCAGAUACCUCCAUAUAUAUUAACAGAAUAGUUAUUCUAUACAUCAUAUAUAAAUUUAUUACUGAUAGUAAACUAUAUAAGCACUAGUAUAUAUUUUUCUUACGUAGUAACAAUUAUUUAACAUACAUAUCAUAUUGUUUAUGAAUAUGCAAAAACUGAACAUAUUCAUUGGUAUUGCUCCAAAUUAGGAAGUCGUGCAACGGGUAUACCAACAAGUGGUUCUGUUUUCUUCAAAACAAUCCCAAAUUUAUCUUCUAAACUAGGCUUAGUCCCCUCUGACAAUCCCCAUUCAAAAGAGUGCACCAAAGAGCCUAAGAGCAGUGCC